rnacentral:lncRNA from 1 species
CUCUGACAUUCGAGAGACUUCUCACCUACUCUCCUCCUUCUCUCUACUUUCUCUCUCUAUAAUUUGUAUGAUUCAUCCGUUUAAUCUUGAUGUUAACACUAAGUGGGAUUAUACUGGGUUGUUGUUGUUGUUGUUAUAAUUAUGUACAUGAAUUUUUUACAUUCCAAAAUCAUAUAUGUGCGUGUGUCCACAUAUGCAAAAAAGGACUGAAAAUUUUAAGUCAAAAUACAAUCAUACAUCAAGCACAUAUAAGGUAAGGAAUGAUGAGAAAUGAUUUAGAAUUUCAGAGGUCAGAAACUGUAAAAAGAAAGUGACUUUUACACGUAGUAUAAUGGACUUGUUCACUUGCAUCGACAUUCCUAUUUGAUGUUUCAACCUUUUAAUCUUUAAAAGUGAAUUAAAAUACAAACUCAAUCACUCCUAUGUUAAUCAUCUGUCCACUCACCUAAGCAAGUGAAAAGCAUAAGUAUUGGCUGACAUACACAUUUGAAUUGUUGGAAGUGUAACACAGAACCCUAUAAAUCCUGAUAUCAUCCAAGGACACCCGAUGCAUUCUUUAAUCUGCUUCUUCUUUCCGCGUAAUGCUUAAUUUCAACAUAAAGCUAUCACAUUUUAAUGCAAAUUGGCAUGCGUCUCACACAAACAUCAGGCAGGUUCAAACAUAUAAAAAUUUAAACUCUUAACACAUUAACAAUUGCUACUUCGUCUUUCAGCAUAGAACAUACAGUAUCUAAUCGCAUAGAAGAACAAAAGUUCUAAGCAUCGAACUGAAGAAUUAUCAACUAAUCCACCUCGUUUAGGAGUAAAUAAUAGUAUUAAUUGAUGAUAUUGAACAUCAAUUAUUAGAGCACUAGGGUUUAAGAUUGAGAAUGUGACCUGUCCGAACACGGGUAUCAAGCUCCUUGUGCUGAAGGAGCUUCUUCCGAUAGUCGGCGAGUGCCGUACGGCGUCUGACGGCUUCUUCUUCGGUCGACAUAUCGGAAUUUGCUCUAAGAUCUGUGGAAACUGCUUUCUGAUAUCGGUAGUGAACUAGCUCUCAACUUGAGGAACAAGCAAUCUAUAGAUCCCUUGUUCAGAAAGUACAAUACUUUGAGCACACCCUUGUUUGAAAAUAUAUAAUCUGCAAUUAAUUAUUAUUCCGACGUAUAGUAGGGGAAGAUGUACAGGGCCAACUUCUUGGGCUCAGGCAAGUCAUCUUUAUUCAAGCCCAAUUAGGUAUCUGAGCCCAAUAAUUAAAGCCAAACGAAGGGCAAUAAUAAAUGGGAGUUUUAUCUUCCUAUACCAUAUAUGAAAUCUUAUUACCAUUAUUGCUAAGGUUUGAGUUAAUUACAUUUUAGCAUACUAAAUUAUUAUUUAUAUUCCAUAAUUCAAAUUAGGAAUAUAAUUAUAGAUGGGGCUUUUGAUUUGCUACAAUCACUUAAUCCGUCUAUUUACCUAAAGCUAUAUAAACCACACCAACCAGCCAAAAACACAUAUUAUGAAGAAUCAAGGAUCGAACCUGUAAAUAAAGAAUGGAUGCACCCAUCAAAAGCAAGAGAGGGGCUAAGGACAUGUGAUUCAUCGCCAUAUUUGGCUUUUUUCUAGAGCUCUCCAAUUGUGGUAUAAAAUGCAGGAACUCCCGAAA